GACGUAGGACGCGCCCUCCAUUUUGUGGAGCGCCAGAGCUGCUAAGUGCGUCAGUUGUGGAGAGGCGUAGACGAGUUAAGUCCUGGUCUGCGUGGAGGUCGACGACUCCGUCGCAGACUACGGACCUGUCUGGGUCUCAGCCGCCAAAGACCCCGUCCGGUAGGAAGUACUAGCCGGACAUCAUGAGUGGCUGUCGGGUAUUCAUCGGGAGACUAAAUCCAGCGGCCAGGGAGAAGGACGUGGAAAGAUUCUUCAAGGGAUAUGGACGGAUAAGAGAUAUUGAUCUGAAAAGAGGCUUUGGUUUUGUGGAAUUUGAGGAUCCAAGGGAUGCAGAUGAUGCUGUGUAUGAGCUUGAUGGAAAAGAACUCUGUAGUGAAAGGGUUACUAUUGAACAUGCUAGGGCUCGGUCACGAGGUGGAAGAGGUAGAGGACGAUACUCUGACCGUUUUAGUAGUCGCAGACCUCGAAAUGAUAGACGGUAUGUGAAGGGUGGAUGGCUGCAUUGAACAAUUAUUGUAGGGGUAGCAUUUAAGAUUCAGGAGUCAUUAGCAGUGAUGAUUCCGGGUCCUGCCGUAUAAUCUGUUCGUCUAUUCCCACGUUAGCCCAUUGUUCUUGAUGAAUCUAUGUGAGUCAUAGAACACAAAUCUAUUGACGGAAGUCAUUAGAAUGGCUUGUGAUAUUUGAUGGCUUGAACUUGCCCACAGUUGAACACAAGUGCUGUCAUUGCAUUUCUUCCAUUGUGAAUACGAAUUUUCUUCCUCAGAAAUGCUCCACCUGUAAGAACAGAAAAUCGUCUUAUAGUUGAGAAUUUAUCCUCAAGAGUCAGCUGGCAGGUUUGUUGAAAUACAGUUUUGAGUUAUUUUGAUGUGGCUUUUUAAAAAAGUUAAUGGGUAGCUAAUGUUUUAUUGUUUUAUUAAACGUAGUUUUAAAUUAAUGGAUUUAAUGGAAUUGUAAUUUUAAACAUUUAAUUAAAUGUAAUUUGGGGGAUAUUUUGAACUUUAAUAUUAGUGAUCAAAUGUAAAUGUUUUGAGGAUAUUUUUCUUGUUUUUUAAAAUCAAUUUUUAACCAAAUAUUAAACCCUUUAUUUGCCAGCCUGUCUGUGUCGUUGGCCUUAUGACGAGGAGUGCCUGUGGGUUAUCCUAAUCGUUGUCUUGGUCACUCUUGGUUGGGCCUGGUUGACUUUGCCAGUCAGCUCCUACAGUGAUCAGUUGGCCACCUCUAGAUCUGUGUUUGCCGGUCUAGACGUUAUCGGUGCACUUCCUUGAAGUGCCAGGUUGCAGCGAUCCCAGAGCGUUGAUAACGUGAUCUGAUCCCUAAGUUGAGACCUGUCUUCCUGUAACGCUUCCGAAUAAGAGGUCCGGUCGAAAAGAGUUGAAAGAUACGAAAUUAGGUGGUCGUUGGAAUCCUGAUCGCAGUAAAGUGGUCCUUGGUAACUGCUCGAGUAGAACAUGUCUGCAUCCGCCAAUAGUCCGCUAAUAGGGAGGGCUGUGCGAUUAAAGGCUUCCAUCGAUUGGGUAGUGUCCUUCAAGUGGGUGGCGAAGAGCCAGUCGGGCAUAUGUCAUGAAGGUUUCUCCGACCGAUUAAUGGUUUGCUGCUUGACUAGCCUAGGGAAAUAAUAAUAAAGGUAAAGUAAACUUUUUUAAUGACAUAUGGGGCACAAAAUAACUGGUGUCUUGUAAAUGUUCUGUUUUUUUAAAUAAAACUUCUCUACUUUAGUCUUUACUUUAAAAAUAUGUACUGUUUCCUUUUUUGUUGUUUUUUUGUUUGUUUUUUUUUCUUUUGUACUGAGCUCAGCAUAGACUAAUACUACCUUAAUGUUAAAAUCUGAAUUUCUUUUAGCAUUUUGCUUAAAAGCAAUAUGCUAUUUGCUUAUUCCGUGCCCUGACAUAGAUAAUUUUUGAAUUCUGAUAGAAUACAAGUGUGGUAAAUGCCAUGUUUGUACUUUAUCUAACAUCUUCUCUUUCAGUAGUCUUGUUUUUUUUAUAUCAUGUGAUUGUUUGUGUGUCCCCUUUCCUCUUCUUUGCUUAACACAAUUAUCUUGUGUUAAGGAUCUCAAAGAUUUCAUGAGACAAGCUGGGGAAGUAACGUUUGCGGAUGCACACCGACCUAAAUUAAAUGAAGGGGUGGUUGAGUUUGCCUCUUAUGGUGACUUAAAGAAUGCUAUUGAAAAACUUUCUGGAAAGGAAAUAAAUGGGAGAAAAAUAAAAUUAAUUGAAGGCAGCAAAAGGCACAGUAGGUCAAGAAGCAGGUCUCGAUCCCGGACCAGAAGUUCCUCUAGGUCUCGUAGCCGAUCCCGUUCCCGUAGUCGCAAAUCUUACAGCCGGUCAAGAAGCAGGAGCAGGAGCCGGAGCCGGAGCAAGUCCCGUUCUGUUAGUAGGUCUCCCGUGCCUGAGAAGAGCCAGAAACGUGGUUCUUCAAGUAGAUCUAAGUCUCCAGCAUCUGUGGAUCGCCAGAGGUCCCGGUCCCGAUCAAGGUCCAGAUCAGUUGACAGUGGCAAUUAAACUGUAAAUAACUUGCCCUGGGGGCCUUUUUUUAAAAAACAAAAACCACAAAAAUUCCCAAACCAUACUUGCUAAAAAUUCUGGUAAGUAUGUGCUUUUCUGUGGGGGUGGGAUUUGGAAGGGGGGUUGGGUUGGGCUGGAUAUCUUUGUAGAUGUGGACCACCAAGGGGUUGUUGAAAACUAAUUGUAUUAAAUGUCUUUUGAUAAGCCUUCUGCUCACAUUUUUGUGAAUGUCUGAAGUAUAUAGUUUGUGUAUAUUGACAGAGCUCUUUUAUAACUAAAGCAAAUUUAAUUUUUUUGUACUAGAAAAAAAUUUGAACAUUUUAGUUCUUGGUUAUAAAAAUAUGUUAAUUCAGAAUUAGUUUAAUGCCUUAAUUAAACUAAUUAAUAGCUUUGGACACUUAAAAGAGCUCUAAAUUUGCUUGUACAUAAAGGCUUAAUUUGUUUUCCUUGUUAGGGUCAAGGGUGUCCUCCACUCUUUAACAGCUGCGGGACAGACACAUUAAAGCAGCUGUUUGUUAUUGAUAAUAAAAUAUUAUAAAACU
rnacentral:sRNA from 1 species